GUCAUCCAAAAUGGUUGCCUGCAGUUCUUGGUGUGCCACUGCAAAUGGUUAAUCCAAUAUAUAUCAUAGUUUCUACCAGCCAUCCAUACAUUUACUACUACAAAAGUUUGUUAACUUAGCUUUUCUCACAGUCUACUGCUAUUAUUUUAGCAGCUGUCUACACAAAUGUAGCUAAUUUAACUGUACCUGAAUGUGAAUAGGAGCCAUCUUGAAGUCUUCUGGUCCUGGGAAGAAUAAGAAAAAAAAAAGAGGCAGUUUGAUUUCAGGCUGACAUCACAGAUGGUUUCGAGAGCGCUCUACAGGAAGUGGCGGGUGUUCGGACUCCCACAUCGGAGGGGCGGUUGGAAUCUUCAAGCUGAGAGGCCUGGUGUCACCAGUGGAAGAGUCGUCUCCAGCUGUGGAUGCCCUCGGUGACAAACUCAGCUGGCUCGAGGCAAAGAGGACACACAUCAGCACAAACGUUGUCACCAGCGCUCUAAUGUGUGACCGACUGCCUGUGCAGAAACCUGAGACAGGCACCACACAGAAAAAUCUUCAGUAUAAAAUGAACUCAGAUUGGUACUUUUAACUCUAAUAGCGUCCGCUUUGGACUGUGUUAGAGUUGAUGUACCACUAGUAAUUUUGCUUUGCGCCUCUAUUGGCUUGAAAGGAAAACCUUCCAGUUUUUCUUUCAUUUAUCUAAGCUUAUGAAAAUCAAACACAGGUAAACUGGGCUUCAACAAAGAGGGAAGAAAAAGUAUUUAAAAAACAACAAAACAUUUUAGCCUAACAUUCUGCAAUUUCUUUUAUUUAGGGGUUCAUUGCAUUCAGUAGUUCAUAAUGAAGAUUUUUUUAAACUAUGAAAGCAUUUUUUUCAGUUUAUAAUUGACUUCAGUGUAGGGGUGGUGGUGGAGUUCAUGCAGUCUGUACGCUGUAGUUCAGACUAAGCAUGAUUAACUACAUUUUAUUUCAAAAUUGUAUGAAACUUGAUUUCACUGUUUGUUUACCUCAGCGUUAUAAAAGCCUGUUAUGGCUAUAUUACAUAAUACUUCAUUGUUUGUUAAACACAGCUUUAAAAAGCAAAUUACCUGUUGUUAACCUGCGUUAUAAUUGAUGUCAUUGUAAAACCAACACCUUAAUGCUUUAAUAUCUCAACAAUAGCAUUGCCAGUGAUUAUAAUAGCAAUAGAUUAUAAUCUCCUUUCACCCCUACUGGACUGUUCGGCAAUCUAUCACAGGGCACGGCAUGGGCAAUUUAGAGAAUUAGCCUACCUGCGUGGAAACCCAUGUAGACAUGGGGAAAACAUGCCAAUGCCACACAGUAAGGUCCAGGCCAGGAUUCAAACCCAACAACAUCUUGCUGUGCAGCGACAGUGCUACCCACUGCACCACCAUAAAAUUAACUGCCAGUGCAAAACACACCAAUGUUGCAUAUUCUGUGUAGCAGAGAAUGUCCAGCCAACCGGACUAUUUAAGGUAGAAUGACAGGUUCUGUAACCGGAAUUAGUGGUGUAUUUCAGAGCAGUAUGAUAUAGUGGAUCAAGUUUAGAUGAUGUACAAUGACAAGGAUAUCUGUAAAUAGUGUUACCAUAAGAAAAUUGAGUCAACAAUAUACUUGUGAGCAGCCUUUUUCUUUAAGUCACAGAGAAGCACAUCUUUGAAAUUAAAAUCAUUGUCUGACCAUAUACACAAAUAUUCAUACAAUUGCUGCAAUUCCUACAUGGUUCACCCGAUACUGAUGUAAGUACCUGCAAGUUAAAUCUUACAGUCUGCGUCCUGUCAGUCAUGUAUAAACAUCUGAGCCUGAGGAAUGACCAGAAUCACUGAUGAGCACUGUGCAUAAUAUUGAUCCGUACAGUUGUGGGUGGCAAAGGUGUGUUUAUAGGCCU